UUUGAAACAAUCGUAACUAUAUAGUUUAAAAAAUAUAAACAUUUACGUAAAAUUUUGAACUGGGUCUAAAUUAUUGAAACUUGUAGUGAGUUUAAGUGCCUUACUCUUAUCCAUGACUAAAUAGAUCUAUUUAGUCAUGCCCUUAUGAUUGUUUGAAACCCAUCACUCGGAUAUUUCUGGGGAGAAAUAAUGACAGAUCAACUCAUCAACACAUAAUCUAAUUAGGUAUGGCGUGAUCAACACAAAGUCAAGGUGACUAAGGUUAGCAUAAAUAAGAUAAUUAUGAAAAUUCAGAAGCAGCCGCAAAUUGUACACGAUCAGUACGAUUGGAGCUUGUAUAUACAACACUACUGCUACUGUACACGAUUGAUAUUGUUUACCUAAUGUUUAUUGUUUAGUAAUGUUCAUUAAAAAUAUUAGUGUUACUUA